rnacentral:rRNA from 1 species
GACAGCAGCAGCCACGGUAAUACGGAGGGUGCAAGCGUUAAUCGGAAUUACUGGGCGUAAAGCGCACGCAGGCGGUCUGACAAGUCAGAUGUGAAAUCCCCGGGCUUAACCUGGGAACUGCAUUUGAAACUGUCAGGCUGGAGUCUUGUAGAGGGGGGUGGAAUUCCAGGUGUAGCGGUGAAAUGCGUAGAGAUCUGGAGGAAUACCGGUGGCGAAGGCGGCCCCCUGGACAAAGACUGACGCUCAGGUGCGAAAGCGUGGGGAGCAAACAGGAUUAGAUACCCCUGUAGUCCCUGUCUCUUAUAC